rnacentral:rRNA from 1 species
AGAGUUUGAUCAUGGCUCAGAACGUACGCUGGCGGCACGCCUAACACAUGCAAGUCGAACGAAGUAGCAAUACUUAGUGGCAGACGGGUGAGUAACAUGUGGGUAUCUGCCCUUUGGCCUGGAAUAACACGAGGAAACUUGUGCUAAUACCGGAUAAGUCUUUACGGAGAAAGCUUUAUGCACCAUUGGAUGAGCCCGCACUUGAUUAGUUUGUUGGUGGGGUAAUGGCCUACCAAGACUGUGAUCAAUAGCUGAUUUGAGAGGAUGAUCAGCCACAUUGGGACUGAGACACGGCCCAAACUCCUACGGGAGGCAGCAGUGGGGAAUCUUGCACAAUGGAGGAAACUCUGAUGCAGCGAUGCCGCGUGAGUGAAGAAGGCCCUUGGGUUGUAAAGCUCUUUCGUCGGGGAAGAAAAUGACUGUACCCGAAUAAGAAGGUCCGGCUAACUUCGUGCCAGCAGCCGCGGUAAUACGAAGGGACCUAGCGUAGUUCGGAAUUACUGGGCUUAAAGAGUUCGUAGGUGGUUGAAAAAGUUAGUGGUGAAAUCCCAGAGCUUAACUCUGGAACUGCCAUUAAAACUUUUCAGCUAGAGUAUGAUAGAGGAAAGCAGAAUUUCUAGUGUAGAGGUGAAAUUCGUAGAUAUUAGAAAGAAUACCAAUUGCGAAGGCAGCUUUCUGGAUCAUUACUGACACUGAGGAACGAAAGCAUGGGUAGC